rnacentral:rRNA from 1 species
UGGAUUCUUUGUGGUAGAGGACUCGUAUCGCACGCUCGUAACAGGUUUGGCCUGGGUGAUAGGAGCGUAGGUGGGGUAAGCACAGGGCGUGGAGUGUUAAGUACAGCCCUGACUAGCCGUCAGCUCUCGGCAGCACAUGGGAAUAUUGGACAAUGGGGCAACCUGAUCCAGCCAUCCGGUGGGUGAAGAAGGCCUUCGGGUUGUAAAGCCCUUUUGUUGGAAAGAAAAGCAUUCGGGUUAAUACCCGAUUGUUCUGACGGGUACCCAAAGAAUAAGCACCGGCUAACUUCGGUGCCAGCAGCCGCGGUAAUACGAAGGGUGCAAGCGUUACUCGGAAUUACUAGGGCGUAAAGCGUGCGUAGGUGGUUGUUUAAGUCUGUCGUGAAAGCCCUGGGCUCAACCUGGGAAUUGCGAUGGAAACUGGGCGACUAGAGUGUGGCAGAGGGUAGUGGAAUUCCUGGUGUAGCAGUGAAAUGCGUAGAGAUCAGGAGGAACAUCCGUGGCGAAGGCGACUGCCUGGGCCAACACUGACACUGAGGCACGAAAGCGUGGGGAGCAAACAGGAUUAGAUACCCUGGUAGUCCACGCCCUAAACGAUGCGAACUGGAUGUUGGGUGCAAUUUGGCACGCAGUAUCGAAGCUAACCGUUAAGUUCGCCGCCUGGGGAGUACGGUCGCAAGACUGAAACUCAAAGGAAUUGACGGGGGCCCGCACAAGCGGUGGAAUAUGUGUUUAAUUCGAUGCAACGCGAAGAACCUUACCUAGCCUUGACAUGCACGGAACUUUCCAGAGAUGGAUUAAUGCCUUCGGAACCGUGACACAGUGCUACAUGGCUAUCAUCACUCAUGUCUGAGAUGUGGUUAAUCC